ACUAUUUUGGCAGAAGAAUGUAAUAAAUUUAGAAUUUAUUUAUGUAAUUUAUAUUACAAAUAGUA
rnacentral:tRNA from 1 species